UCACGAACGCAAGCAGUACGCACGAUAUUGUCCCCAGUGUCCAUGUCCUGAACGUCAGUGCCGGUUCUGUCGGAUCGUCGGUUAUCGGCACGUUAUAAUGAUGUUGGACAUAUUCUCCGGCCGAUGGGACUCAGCUCCGGCGACUUCGAAACUCGCCAUUCUCUACUAGUAUGUGUUUCCUUUUUCUUCAGACUUCGCUGUUCCAGUGAAGUUUCCGGCGGAAAGCUCGCCGGAAAAGGGAAAAGACCCUGAAACAGAGAAAGGUUAAAAUGUCUCCCGCACGUUAUUUGUUUUACCAGUUAUAAUGAUGUUGGACUUAUUCUCCGGCCGAUGGGACUCAGCUCCGGCUCUGCAGAUUUUCAAGGGAAAUUAUCUCAAGCCGACGAAAAUAGAAUCUGUUGGGGUUGGCUUUACAUCAGAGGGGAUGUUAGAUGAAAAGGUUCAGUCUUUUUUUUUUAAAAAAUGUAUAGAGAGAACUACGUCAGCAUGAACACAGUUCUUGCUUUUUUACAGAUUUAUGACUAUACUACUGAGUAUCCGGGCAGUGUGAAUUUCCUUCCAAUAUGUAAAUUCUAUAUAUAUACACGUUCUGGGCAGAUUAAUUACA